AGAGUUUGAUCAUGGCUCAGGAUGAACGCUGGCGGCGUGCCUAACACAUGCAAGUCGAACGGGUUAAGGGAAAUUUCGGAUGGAACUUAACUUAGUGGCGGACGGGUGAGUAACGCGUGGAUAACCUGCCUCACACUGGGGGAUAGCAGCUGGAAACGGCUGGUAAUACCGCAUAAGACCCCGGUGCCGCAUGGCACCGAGGUAAAAGAUUUAUCGGUGUGAGAUGGAUCCGCGUCUGAUUAGCCAGUUGGCGGGGUAACGGCCCACCAAAGCGACGAUCAGUAGCCGGCCUGAGAGGGUGAACGGCCACAUUGGGACUGAGACACGGCCCAAACUCCUACGGGAGGCAGCAGUGGGGAAUAUUGCACAAUGGGCGCAAGCCUGAUGCAGCCAACGCCGCGUGAGUGAAGAAGUAUUUCGGUAUGUAAAGCUCUAUCGGCAGGGAAGAAAGGCCCUUUAAGGGAGAUGACGGUACCUGACUAAGAAGCCCCGGCUAACUACGUGCCAGCAGCCGC
rnacentral:rRNA from 1 species